rnacentral:other from 1 species
UAGUCCCUGCCGUGCUCGUGACUUGGCCAUACAUUCCUUGAACCAAUGCUUAUGGCAUGCAGGUUGCUGGAUUGACAAGUAGGUGUGCUUUCCAUUUAUGGACAACCCGAAGCUUGACUGAAGGCGACCACCUUGAACCCUCGGUUCCAGGAUGCCGGCCUUGACGGCACAGGCGGGGCAAUU